rnacentral:rRNA from 1 species
AUAUUGCACAAUGGGGGAAACCCUGAUGCAGCGACGCCGCGUGAGCGAUGAAGUAUUUCGGUAUGUAAAGCUCUAUCAGCAGGGAAGAAAAUGACGGUACCCGAAUAAGAAGCCCCGGCUAACUACGUGCCAGCAGCCGCGGUAAUACGUAGGGGGCCAGCGUUAUCCGGAUUUACUGGGUGUAAAGGGAUCGUAGACGGCAGGGAAAGCCAGAAGUGAAAACGCAGAGCUUAACUUUGCGACUGCUUCUGGAACUGCCCAGCUAGAGUACAGGAGAGGUAAGUGGAAUUCCUAGUGUAGCGGUGAAAUGCGUAGAUAUUAGGAGGAACACCAGUGGCGAAGGCGGCUUACUGGACUGAGACUGACGUUGAGGCUCGAAAGCGUGGGGAGCAAACAGG